AAUAUCUGAUUUUAAUGGUAGCGUCUCAUCUGUUGGGAACCGUUGAGUGGAUCCAGUCUUACCUCACUUCCUGUGUAGGGGCCCUGACUUUUUCAGGGCCUCGUACCUCUGGCGUUUCACAUCUUUGAGGUUCUGGAUUCACACACUGAGACUGAGGAACAUGGUCCCUGUUGUCCUCUUCUUCCUCCUGCCACUCGGCUACGCAGUUAACCAGACGGCAGACGUCUUUUCGGAAGAGGGACGCAACGUGACCCUGGCGUGUUCCCAGAGGAACACCGACUUCAACAGCAUGUACUGGUUUCGGCAGAGGCCCGGCGAGGGGCUCGAGCCGAUCGUGUAUUUCUACGUCCAGAUGGAGACGAUGGAGGAGCGGCUGAAGGAGAGGUUUUCUGCCGAGCGCGUCGGCGCCUCCCUGACGCUGACUCUCCGCGGGGCGCGGCUGAGCGACAGCGGCGGCGUGUACUUCUGCGCGAAGCAAGAGGCACGUGCAGUGUGA